rnacentral:rRNA from 1 species
GGGGAUAACUCGGAGGAAGGUGGGGAUGACGUCAAAUCAUCAUGCCCCUUAUGUUCAGGGCUACACACGUGCUACAAUGGUCGAUACAAAGGGAAGCAACAGAGCAAUCUCAAGCAAAUCCCAUAAAGUCGAUCCCAGUUCGGAUUGCGGGCUGAAACUCGCCCGCAUGAAGUUGGAGUUGCUAGUAAUCGCGAAUCAGAAUGUCGCGGUGAAUGCGUUCCCGGGUCUUGUACACACCGCCCGUCACACCACGGAAGCCGGAUGCGC